CGACUGUUUUACCAAAAACAUAGCUUCUAGAAAUAAUUAGAAGUAAAAUCCUGCCCGGUGAAAGCAAUUUUAAACGGCCACAAUCGUGCUAAGGUAGCGUAAUCAGUUGUCCUUUUACUGAGGACUAGUAUGAAAGGAAAAACGAGGCUCAACUGUCUCUAUUAAAAAAAUAGAAAUUAGUUUUUAGAUGAAAAAAUCUAAAUAAAAUUAAAGGACGAAAAGACCCUAUAGAGUUUAAAUAUAAUUAUACUAUUCACAAAUUAAACAAAGCGAAUAGAAUAAAUAUUUUAAUUGGGGCAACAUAGGAACAAGAAAUUUCCUUAUAGUAAACAUUUAAUAUCAUAAAAAUGAAAAUCCUCAAAGAGAUAAAGAAAAACUACCUUAGGGAUAACAGCGUAAUUUUUCUAAAGAGACCUAAUCGAAAGAAAAGUUUGCGACCUCGAUGUUGGACUAAGGCAUCAAAAUGGUGAAGAAACUAUUAAAAGUGGGCCUGUUCGGCCUAAUAGCCUUACAUGAUUUG
rnacentral:rRNA from 1 species